rnacentral:rRNA from 1 species
UUGGAGGGCAAGUCUGGUGCCUGCAGCCGCGGUAAUUCCAGCUCCAAUAGCGUAUAUUAAAGUUGUUGCAGUUAAAAAGCUCGUAGUUGAAUUUCGGGGUUAGUAGGUUGGUCAUGCCUCUGUAUGCACUGGUCUCACUGAUUCCUCCUUCCUGAUGAGCCGUAAUGCCAUUAAUUUGGUGUUGCGGGGAAUUUGGACUGUUACUUUGAAAAAAUUAGAGUGUUUAAAGCAAGCUAACGCUUGAAUACAUUAGCAUGGAAUAAUGAAAUAGGACGUUCGAUCCUAUUUUGUUGGUUUCUAGGAUUGACGUAAUGAUUAAUAGGGAUAGUUGGGGGCAUUAGUAUUCAAUUGUCAGAGGUGCAAUUCUUGGAUUUAUUGAAGACUAACUACUGCGAAAGCAUUUGCCAAGGAUGUUUUCAUUAAUCAAGAACGAAAGUUAGGGGAUCGAAGACGAUCAGAUACCGUCGUAGUCUUAACCAUAAACUAUGCCGACUAGGGAUCGGAUGAUGUUAAUUUUUUAAUGACUCAUUCGGCGCCUUACGGGAAACCAAAGUGUUUGGGUUC